AAGUCGUAACAAGGUUUCCGUAGGUGAACCUGCGGAAGGAUCAUCAUCGAAUUCAUAUCCCCCUCCUCUCCCGGAGGGGGACCCAUGAUAAACCCUUCUGUGCACCGUAAACCGUUCACUUUGGCAGGCUUUGGCGGUGAGCGUGAGCUCGCCUCCAACCUCGCGUUCCCUCUCUAAGGGAGUGUUACGCGUGGCGGCCUGCCGGAGUCCCAUUUAAAAACUCGUUUUCGAACACGUCUGAAAAUUUCCUUUGAGAAAUCAAAGAACCGAAAACAACUUUCAACAACGGAUCUCUUGGCUCUC
rnacentral:misc_RNA from 1 species